GCGAUACAGGGUGACAGCCCCGUACACAAAAAUGCACAUGCUGUGAGCUCGAUGAGUAGGGCGGGACACGUGGUAUCCUGUCUGAAUAUGGGGGGACCAUCCUCCAAGGCUAAAUACUCCUGACUGACCGAUAGUGAACCAGUACCGUGAGGGAAAGGCGAAAAGAACCCCGGCGAGGGGAGUGAAAAAGAACCUGAAACCGUGUACGUACAAGCAGUGGGAGCACAGAGCAAUCUGUGUGACUGCGUACCUUUUGUAUAAUGGGUCAGCGACUUAUAUUCUGUAGCAAGGUUAACCGAAUAGGGGAGCCGAAGGGAAACCGAGUCUUAACUGGGCGUUAAGUUGCAGGGUAUAGACCCGAAACCCGGUGAUCUAGCCAUGGGCAGGUUGAAGGUUGGGUAACACUAACUGGAGGACCGAACCGACUAAUGUUGAAAAAUUAGCGGAUGACUUGUGGCUGGGGGUGAAAGGCCAAUCAAACCGGGAGAUAGCUGGUUCUCCCCGAAAGCUAUUUAGGUAGCGCCUCGUGAAUUCAUCUCCGGGGGUAGAGCACUGUUUCGGCAAGGGGGUCAUCCCGACUUACCAACCCGAUGCAAACUGCGAAUACCGGAGAAUGUUAUCACGGGAGACACACGGCGGGUGCUAACGUCCGUCGUGAAGAGGGAAACAACCCAGACCGCCAGCUAAGGUCCCAAAGUCAUGGUUAAGUGGGAAACGAUGUGGGAAGGCCCAGACAGCCAGGAUGUUGGCUUAGAAGCAGCCAUCAUUUAAAGAAAGCGUAAUAGCUCACUGGUCGAGUCGGCCUGCGCGGAAGAUGUAACGGGGCUAAACCAUGCACCGAAGCUGCGGCAGCGACACUAUGUGUUGUUGGGUAGGGGAGCGUUCUGUAAGCCUGUGAAGGUGUACUGUGAGGUAUGCUGGAGGUAUCAGAAGUGCGAAUGCUGACAUAAGUAACGAUAAAGCGGGUGAAAAGCCCGCUCGCCGGAAGACCAAGGGUUCCUGUCCAACGUUAAUCGGGGCAGGGUGAGUCGACCCCUAAGGCGAGGCCGAAAGGCGUAGUCGAUGGGAAACAGGUUAAUAUUCCUGUACUUGGUGUUACUGCGAAGGGGGGACGGAGAAGGCUAUGUUGGCCGGGCGACGGUUGUCCCGGUUUAAGCGUGUAGGCUGGUUUUCCAGGCAAAUCCGGAAAACUAAGGCUGAGGCGUGAUGACGAGGCACUACGGUGCUGAAGCAACAAAUGCCCUGCUUCCAGGAAAAGCCUCUAAGCAUCAGGUAACAUCAAAUCGUACCCCAAACCGACACAGGUGGUCAGGUAGAGAAUACCAAGGCGCUUGAGAGAACUCGGGUGAAGGAACUAGGCAAAAUGGUGCCGUAACUUCGGGAGAAGGCACGCUGAUAUGUAGGUGAAGUCCCUCGCGGAUGGAGCUGAAAUCAGUCGAAGAUACCAGCUGGCUGCAACUGUUUAUUAAAAACACAGCACUGUGCAAACACGAAAGUGGACGUAUACGGUGUGACGCCUGCCCGGUGCCGGAAGGUUAAUUGAUGGGGUUAGCGCAAGCGAAGCUCUUGAUCGAAGCCCCGGUAAACGGCGGCCGUAACUAUAACGGUCCUAAGGUAGCGAAAUUCCUUGUCGGGUAAGUUCCGACCUGCACGAAUGGCGUAAUGAUGGCCAGGCUGUCUCCACCCGAGACUCAGUGAAAUUGAACUCGCUGUGAAGAUGCAGUGUACCCGCGGCAAGACGGAAAGACCCCGUGAACCUUUACUAUAGCUUGACACUGAACAUUGAGCCUUGAUGUGUAGGAUAGGUGGGAGGCUUUGAAGUGUGGACGCCAGUCUGCAUGGAGCCGACCUUGAAAUACCACCCUUUAAUGUUUGAUGUUCUAACGUUGACCCGUAAUCCGGGUUGCGGACAGUGUCUGGUGGGUAGUUUGACUGGGGCGGUCUCCUCCUAAAGAGUAACGGAGGAGCACGAAGGUUGGCUAAUCCUGGUCGGACAUCAGGAGGUUAGUGCAAUGGCAUAAGCCAGCUUGACUGCGAGCGUGACGGCGCGAGCAGGUGCGAAAGCAGGUCAUAGUGAUCCGGUGGUUCUGAAUGGAAGGGCCAUCGCUCAACGGAUAAAAGGUACUCCGGGGAUAACAGGCUGAUACCGCCCAAGAGUUCAUAUCGACGGCGGUGUUUGGCACCUCGAUGUCGGCUCAUCACAUCCUGGGGCUGAAGUAGGUCCCAAGGGUAUGGCUGUUCGCCAUUUAAAGUGGUACGCGAGCUGGGUUUAGAACGUCGUGAGACAGUUCGGUCCCUAUCUGCCGUGGGCGCUGGAGAACUGAGGGGGGCUGCUCCUAGUACGAGAGGACCGGAGUGGACGCAUCACUGGUGUUCGGGUUGUCAUGCCAAUGGCACUGCCCGGUAGCUAAAUGCGGAAGAGAUAAGUGCUGAAAGCAUCUAAGCACGAAACUUGCCCCGAGAUGAGUUCUCCCUGACUCCUUGAGAGUCCUGAAGGAACGUUGAAGACGACGACGUUGAUAGGCCGGGUGUGUAAGCGCAGCGAUGCGUUGAGCUAACCGGUACUAAUGAACCGUGAGGCUUAACCUU
rnacentral:rRNA from 1 species